rnacentral:rRNA from 1 species
CCUACGGGAGGCAGCAGUGGGGAAUAUUGGACAAUGGGCGAAAGCCUGAUCCAGCCAUGCCGCGUGUGUGAAGAAGGCCUUCGGGUUGUAAAGCACUUUCAGUGGGGAAGAAAGCCUUGGGGCUAAUACCCUCGAGGAAGGACAUCACCCACAGAAGAAGCACCGGCUAACUCCGUGCCAGCAGCCGCGGUAAUACGGAGGGUGCGAGCGUUAAUCGGAAUUACUGGGCGUAAAGCGCGCGUAGGCGGUCUGAUAAGCCGGUUGUGAAAGCCCCGGGCUCAACCUGGGAACGGCAUCCGGAACUGUCAGGCUAGAGUGCAGGAGAGGAAGGUAGAAUUCCCGGUGUAGCGGUGAAAUGCAUAGAGAUCGGGAGGAAUACCAGUGGCGAAGGCGGCCUUCUGAACUGACACUGACGCUGAGGUGCGAAAGCGUGGGUAGCAAACAGGAUUAGAUACCCCGGUAGUC